UGUUCAAGAGGACAUGUUGUGGAUCCAAGCAGUCCAGGAGUGCAGCUCUCUCGUUUCCAAAAGCAGAGAAUUCCUUUGGAGACAACCAAACUUGCUCUAAGAAGUUCCCCAUGUCUCUGCAAGGAGAUGACUGCUACUUCUAUUUCUACUCUGUUUUAAGGGAGACAGUUGUCCCUUCCGCCACUGUGAAGUGGCUCUGGGGAGUGAACGAGUCUGCUGACUGUGGAUGGAGGGUGGUUGUUUCAGGAGCAACUGCAAGUUCAGAUACAUGAUAGUUGAUGCGAUUCUUGCUUCAGUCCUGCCUGAAUACACGUUGAUCAGUGUUGAAGUCAUAAAUCUUCCAAGCAGGUGAUGACCAUAACUUGGUCUUCAUCAGUGUCAUUUUUUCCAUUAAACUCUGGAACUGCUUCUGGGAAGCCAGGAAGACUCUAUGGCACAGUCAGAGGUCUCAAACUCAACAUCCCAUUCCUCAUAAGAAGCAGAUAAGAUCCAGCAGCUGAGCUGCACAGCUGAAGAUGAUGACAUCAAGAAGUUCAUAAUGGAAAUUACAGUAGAAGAACUGGAUGGAGAAAUUGAUGUGGACACUGAGAAGGAUGCGGAUGAGCUCUUUCUGGAACUGUCUGAGGUCAUUGACAGUGUGACACUGUCAAUUGUAUAUUUUAAAACAAACAACAACAAAAAAACAAU